CUUUGCAAGCAGGGGGUCGUCGGUUCGAUCCCGUCAUCCUCCGCCAUCACUCUGCCGAGUGAGCACGGAUACCCUGGAAUUGGUGGUCAAAGGAAAGCAUUUGAUGAGUGCUUCCCUUUGGCAUUGCCAAGCGAUCGUAGGUCUAAGCUGCGGAUCGGCUGUUCUUUAACAAUAUGGGAUGUAGUAAAGGUGUCGCGGAGCGUUGAUGAGACGCUGCAGUAACCAACGCGAUACCGGGUUGUGAUUGUAUCAACCAAAGUAUUUAAGUGAUCGAAAGAUGACUUGGAAUACAGCACAAAUGCGAGAACUCACCUGUAGCAGGAUGUCUCACUGAGACACACUUGUUAUAGGGUCAAGCGAACAAGUGCAUGUGGUGGAUGCCUUGGCGAUCACAGGCGAUGAAGGACGCGGUAGCCUGCGAAAAGCUUCGGGGAGCUGGCAAACAAGCUUUGAUCCGGAGAUGUCCGAAUGGGGAAACCCGG
rnacentral:misc_RNA from 1 species